CUGCUCCUGGCCCACAACGGCAUCGGCACCGUGCGCCCCACAUCCCAAGUGGAUCCCACUCUGGAGGAGCUGGACCUGUCGCACAACGCCCUGCGGCGGCUCCCCGACGCCUUCCUGCAGCAGGCACGGAGCCUGCGGCGGCUCCUCCUGGGGCACAACCAACUGCAGGGGCUCCCCGACGGCUUUUUUGCCACCACGGUUGCCCUGCAGAGCUUGGAGCUGCAGGACAACCCCCUGCCCGCCGUCCCCAGCAGCGUUUUCCACCCCAGUUUGAGCCUCCUGAGCGUGCCGUGCCGCUGCGACGCGGUGCGCAGCGUGCUGGACGCCUGUGCCCGCGCCGCCAACCUCAGCUGCCUCUGCGCCGCGCCCAACGGCACCUUCAACGUCUCCAAUUUCCACGAGCGACAGUGCCCAGGAGGCCCAAAGGUUGUGGCCGCUGCCGUCGGUGCCACCGCCGCGGUGGUGGCCGUGCUGGUGGCGGUGGCCGUCGGCGUCACCGUGCGCCGCCGGAGGAGGAAGGCGGCCACCACCACCACCGCGGGAUGGGGCAAACGGGAAUCCGCCGGGACCCACGGGCAGCCCCGGUACAUCAGCCACGGGGCUGAGAGCGGCCCCACUGCUGCCACCGCUGCCACCGCUGCUCCGGGUGUGAGCGUGGCACCCGAAUAUGAGAACGUCUUCAUCAGCCCCUGCGUGGGCACGGGCACGGCCCCCGCGCAUGGAGGGACGCCGGGGUGGCAGCAGGCGCAGUACAGGUGAGCGGCCAGCACGGGAAUGUGGCCACCAGCCCCCGUGCAGUCCUAUGCAAUGGUGUCCUGUCCCCAUCCCAUCCCAUCCCAUCCCCAUCCAAAUCCCAUCCCCAUCCCGUCCCAAACCCAUCCCCAUUCCCAUCCAAUUCUCAUUCCCCAUCCUAAUCCCAAUCCCCAUCCCCAUCCCAUCCCCAUUCCAUCCAAAUUCCAAUCCCAUCCCCAUUCCCAUCCCCAUCCCAAUCCCCAUUCCAUCCCAUCCCAUCCCAUCCCCAUCCCCAUCCUCAUCCCAAUCCCAAUCCCAAUCCCAAUCCCAUCCCCACCCCACCCCACCUCCCCCCACCCCACCAAACCCAAGGACC
rnacentral:lncRNA from 1 species